AACGAACGCUGGCGGCAGGCCUAACACAUGCAAGUCGAGCGAGGACUUCGGUUCUAGCGGCGGACGGGUGAGUAACGCGUGGGAAUGUGCCCUUCUCUACGGAAUAGCCCUGGGAAACUGGGAGUAAUACCGUAUACGCCCUUUUGGGGAAAGAUUUAUCGGAGAAGGAUCAGCCCGCGUUGGAUUAGGUAGUUGGUGGGGUAAUGGCCUACCAAGCCGACGAUCCAUAGCUGGUCUGAGAGGAUGAUCAGCCACACUGGGACUGAGACACGGCCCAGACUCCUACGGGAGGCAGCAGUGGGGAAUCUUAGACAAUGGGCGCAACCCUGAUCUAGCCAUGCCGCGUGAGUGAUGAAGGCCUUAGGGUUGUAAAGCUCUUUCAGCUGGGAUGAUAAUGACGGUACCAGCAGAAUAAGCCCCGGCUAACUCCGUG
rnacentral:rRNA from 1 species